AGCGAACGCUGGCGGCAGGCCUAGCACAUGCAAGUCGAACGAACCCUUCGGGGUUAGUGGCGGACGGGUGAGUAACACGUGGGAACGUGCCUUUAGGUUCGGAAUAACUCAGGGAAACUUGUGCUAAUACCGAAUGUGCCCUUCGGGGGAAAGAUUUAUCGCCUUUAGAGCGGCCCGCGUCUGAUUAGCUAGUUGGUGAGGUAAUGGCUCACCAAGGCUACGAUCAGUAGCUGGUCUGAGAGGAUGACCAGCCACAUUGGGACUGAGACACGGCCCAAACUCCUACGGGAGGCAGCAGUGGGGAAUCUUGCGCAAUGGGCGAAAGCCUGACGCAGCCAUGCCGCGUGGAUGAUGAAGGUCUUAGGAUCGUAAAAUCCUUUCACCGGUGAAGAUAAUGACUGUAGCCGGAGAAGAAGCCCCGGCUAACUUCGUGCCAGCCGCCGCUGUAACAC
rnacentral:rRNA from 1 species